UUUUAAAAUGAAAUAAAACUUAAAAUGAGAUUAAUUAUUUUAAAAUGAAAUAAAACUUAAAAUGAGAUUAAUUAUUUUAAAAUGAAAUAAAACUUAAAAUGAGAUGAUCUAUUUUAAAAUGAAAUGAAAUAUAAAAUAGAAUUAAAUAAAAUUAAUUUAAAAUAAAAUGACGGUACAAUGCAAUAUGGUUAUCCGACUAACUUCGCUUCCGACACCAUUUCCGAUUAAAAUCUCCCAACCAGAUCAAACAAACCAAAGUUCCAGAUU
rnacentral:lncRNA from 1 species